UACGUAGGGUGCGAGCGUUGUCCGGAAUUAUUGGGCGUAAAGGGCUCGUAGGCGGUUUGUCGCGUCGGGAGUGAAAACUCAGGGCUUAACCCUGAGCCUGCUUCCGAUACGGGCAGACGUAGAGGUAUGCAGGGGAGAACGGAAUUCCUGGUGUAGCGGUGAAAUGCGCAGAUAUCAGGAGGAACACCGGUGGCGAAGGCGGUUCUCUGGGCAUUACCUGACGCUGAGGAGCGAAAGUGUGGGGAGCGAACAGG
rnacentral:rRNA from 1 species